GACGAACGCUGGCGGCGUGCUUAACACAUGCAAGUCGAACGGAAAGGCCCUGCUUUUGUGGGGUGCUCGAGUGGCGAACGGGUGAGUAACACGUGAGUAACCUGCCCUUGACUUUGGGAUAACUUCAGGAAACUGGGGCUAAUACCGGAUAGGAGCUCCUGCUGCAUGGUGGGGGUUGGAAAGUUUCGGCGGUUGGGGAUGGACUCGCGGCUUAUCAGCUUGUUGGUGGGGUAGUGGCUUACCAAGGCUUUGACGGGUAGCCGGCCUGAGAGGGUGACCGGCCACAUUGGGACUGAGAUACGGCCCAGACUCCUACGGGAGGCAGCAGUGGGGAAUAUUGCGCAAUGGGCGGAAGCCUGAUGCAGCAACGCCGCGGGCGGGAUGACGGCCUUCGGGUUGUAAACCGCUUUCGCCUGUGACGAAGCGUGAGUGACGGUAAUGGGUAAAGAAGCACCGGCUAACUACGUG
rnacentral:rRNA from 1 species